ensembl:snoRNA
CCUGCCGAUAAAGGCAUUGUGGGUUUGGCUGCUGUGUCACGCGUGUGUCAGUCGGCGGUAGAGAGAAGAGAGGCUGUGUCUAUGCUCAGUGUUCUGACCUGUGAAUAUCUGAAUGACUGGAAGUCUAACACU